rnacentral:rRNA from 1 species
GGGCCCGCACAAGCGGCGGAGCAUGCGGAUUAAUUCGAUGCAACGCGAAGAACCUUACCAAGGCUUGACAUAUAGAGGAAAAGUGCAGAAAUGCACUCCCCGCAAGGUCUCUAUACAGGUGGUGCAUGGUUGUCGUCAGCUCGUGUCGUGAGAUGUUGGGUUAAGUCCCGCAACGAGCGCAACCCUUAUCCUUAAUUGCCAGCGGUUAGGCCGGGAACUCUAAGAAGACUGCCAGCGCAAGCUGAGAGGAAGGUGGGGAUGACGUCAAAUCAUCACGGCCCUUACGCCUAGGGCUACACACGUGCUACAAUGCCCGGUACAAUGGGACGCAAUACCGCGAGGUGGAGCAAA